rnacentral:rRNA from 1 species
UGGGGAAUAUUGCACAAUGGGGAAACCCUGAUGCAGCGACGCCGAGUGAGGGAAGAAGGUUUUCGGAUUGUAAACCUCUGUCCUUGGUGAAGAUAAUGACGGUAACCAAGGAGGAAGCUACGGCUAACUACGUGCC